rnacentral:rRNA from 1 species
GCUAAUCAAACUCGGUGAUAGCUGGUUCUCCCCGAAAGCUAUUUAGGUAGCGCCUCGGACGAAUACCAUUGGGGGUAGAGCACUGUUUCGGCUAGGGGGUCAUCCCGACUUACCAAACCGAUGCAAACUCCGAAUACCGAUGAGUGAUAUCCGGGAGACAGACGGCGGGUGCUAACGUCCGUCGUCAAGAGGGAAACAACCCAGACCGCCAGCUAAGGUCCCAAAGUCAUGGUUAAGUGGGAAACGAUGUGGGAAGGCACAGACAGCCAGGAUGUUGGCUUAGAAGCAGCCAUCAUUUAAAGAAAGCGUAACAGCUCACUGGUCUA